GUGUUCACUUAAACAGCACUCACACUAGAUUUGGAACCACACCGAGAAGAUUAGCUUGGCCCCUGUGCAAGGAUGACAUGUGAAUUCGUGAAGUGGUCCAUAUUUGA
ensembl:snRNA U6 U6 spliceosomal RNA